UACAGAGGCCCCGAGCGUUGUUCGGAAUUACUGGGCGUAAAGCGGGUGUAGGCGGCCGGCCAAGUCAGAUGUGAAAGCCCUGGGCUUAACCCAGGAAGUGCGUCUGAUACUGGUUGGCUAGAGUGCGAUAGAGGAAAGUGGAAUUCCUAGUGUAGGGGUGAAAUCCGUAGAUAUUAGGAGGAAUACCAAUGGCGUAGGCAGCUUUCUGGUUCGUUACUGACGCUCAGACCCGAAAGCAUGGGUAGCAAACAGG
rnacentral:rRNA from 1 species